rnacentral:antisense_RNA from 1 species
UGUGGGAGCGGGCUUGCUCGCGAAGGCGGUGUGUCAGAUACAUUGAUGUUGGCUGAUACGACGCCUUCGCGAGCAAGCCCGCUCCCACA